AUGCCAAGGACCCGGGCCUUCUCCCAGAGAGGACCUGGGCCCACUUCAGAGCUACUUUGGGUCCCCUGCCUGGCUGCAGAGCACACGGAUGGCCACCCAGCAGCUAGCAGGGGGUGGAGGAGCAGCCCCUUCCUGCAGAGGGCCCGCCCCGCACCUGCCCCUCACCUGCCGGACACCAGUCCCUCCCUUGCUCCGGGGAGCCCGGCGGAGGUGGGGGGCGGGGAGGGGAUGGGGGUGGGGGUGGGGACGCUGCUGUGGCCCUGGGAGGGCCCACUCCGCACACCCCAAGGGUGUCCGUCCUGCAGGUGGGGGUGGGGUCCUUCCAUGGCUCUCCGGGCGUCUGUAAAAACCUUUUUUUCCCCCCCUUCGGAGAUGAGCCGCAGUUUUCCCCUAGAUCCCAAAAGCACUUGUGAUGCACACGCCAGAAGGGGCGAAGGGCCCCUGUUCUGUCGCCUUGGCCUAGAGCCUGGGGCAGCAGAAGGCGAGCAGCUCACGGAGCCCUGCGGCGGGUUGGCGCUUUGUCCCCCGCGCCCGCUGGGUGGGUGCCCGGGGCACUGCUCGGGAGCGCGGCUGCAGGGGGCUGCUGCGGGGGAGGGGCCGCCGCCCCGCUGCCCGCCCCGCCCGAGGGAGGGGAGGGAUGCGCCCCGCUCGCCCUCGCCUCGCCUCGCCCCCGCCGUCGCCGUCGCCCCGGGUCGGGUCGGACACCCACCUGCGGGCGCGGCUGCGGGCCUCGGCGGCGUCCACUCCCGGCUCCCGGCUCCCGGCCGCUUCCUCCCACCUGACCUCACAGGAAGCGCCGCCGCGGAGCGGCCCCCUCUGCAGGCCGCCGGGGGAACUGCAGCGGCCGGCCCGGGCCCGGGGGCGGGGGGCGGGGGGCGCGGGGGAAGAGGAGCGGGAGAGAGGAAGAGCGGAGCGAGCAGGACCGAAGGAGGAGGGAGAGGAAGAGGAGGAGAAGAGGGCAGUGGAGCCCACGGAGGAAAAACCAGAAGAUGUCUUCGCUGCUCAAGAACCUGCAAUGACUCCCUAUUGUCUGCUCCAACAAGACCUAACUCACGAGUGUGCCCAUAAUCAUGGAAUCUACUGGUUACAUCACAUAUGACACCAGCAAGAAGCUACUGGUCUAAUAGAACGUUAGAAUGGCACACUGAAGGCACAGCCAAAUGCCACUCGGAGACAGUACUAAGCAAGAAUGGUGUGCUAUCCUCAAGGGAUGCAUUCUAUACCUUGAAUCAAAGGCCUGUACAGGCUGUUGUGUCUCCAGUUGGAAAAUACUUGGAUUCAGGAACUCAGGUGUGGAAACAGCAGUGGCCCUGCUUAUUGUCAUGCCCAAUGACCCUCUUGGGGAAUUUGUGCCUUCCAUCCCCACAACUCUAGGCUCUGCAAAGUUAGAAAUCUUGCACCCCAGAGGGGGAACACCAGUGUCAGAGAACACAACAAGAGUCUCAUUGAACUAUAAGCUAAGGGUACAGCCUGAGUACUUUGGGUUUUUGUUUCUGGGAAUUAGCAGGCAAGAGAAGAAGUCAUUGUCUUGGCAGGAGUAACUGGUCCCUAUCACUGGGAGGGGGUAGGGUUGCUCUUACACAAUGGGGACAGGAUAACCAUAUUUGGUGCUCAUAUGGUCCACUUGGAUGCCUCUUGGUUGUCCUUUACCCAGAGUGUAGCGGUAAAGGACAAUGCAAUAGCUCUGUCCUCAAAAGGCCAUGUGACCAGAAGCUCAGGGCCCCCAGGGAUGAGGGUCUAAGUCGUGCUUCCAGGUGAGUCACUGAGACCAAUAGAGGGGCCAGCUGAGGGGUAGUGGAGGAGAGAGAUGAUAAUCAAUUGCAGCUACAAUGGCAGGGACUGUAGUUUGUCCCACUAAUAUUUCUCAGGAAGAGCCUUCCAUCAGAAUCCUGAGAAAGUAGAUCUGAGCCUGUAAAGGGUGAGCUGUGGAUGUGCUGUGCAGAGCCCCCUCCAGGGAAGGAGUUGUUGCUCUAAGUUCUGGAAGAGCAUCAGUGGAACCUUCAGCUGUCAGCCCCUCCACACAGGUUGCUCUGCUGCAGAGACACUUCAUUCAAGGUCAAGCCCUUUCACAGGCUGCCCACAUGCAAUGACAGAAGGACACAGGAGAUACGCGCCGGCUGUGCCAACUCCAGAGACCCUCUUGAAGUUGACCAAGGUUGUCAGGUUUUUACCAUAAAUAACUUAGUUUCCCCCUCUGCUCAACCCUGUUUGCUCUGUCUCCCUAAUAAAUCUACUGAACUCUAAAUGCUGUUUCA
rnacentral:lncRNA from 12 species